rnacentral:tRNA from 1 species
UAAGGAGUAGUAUAAUGGAAUUACAAAGGGUUUUGAUCUCUUGGGUGUAGGUUCGAUUCCUAUCUCUUUAA